GGCGGACGGGGUGAGUAACGCGUGAGGAACCUGCCUCAAAGAGGGGGACAACAGUUGGAAACGACUGCUAAUACCGCAUAAGCCCACGACCCGGCAUCGGGUAGAGGGAAAAGGAGCAAUCCGCUUUGAGAUGGCCUCGCGUCCGAUUAGCUAGUUGGUGAGGUAAUGGCCCACCAAGGCGACGAUCGGUAGCCGGACUGAGAGGUUGAACGGCCACAUUGGGACUGAGACACGGCCCAG
rnacentral:rRNA from 1 species